rnacentral:rRNA from 1 species
UACGAAAGGGGCUAGCGUUGUUCGGAAUUACUGGGCGUAAAGCGCACGUAGGCGGCCUUGUAAGAUGGGGGUGAAAUCCCCGGGCUCAACCCGGGAACUGCCCUCAUGACUGCAAAGCUAGAGGAUGCGAGAGGUUAGCGGAAUUCCGAGUGCAGAGGAGAAAUUCGUAGAUAUUCGGAGGAACACCAGUGGCGAAGGCGGCUAACUGGCGCAUUUCUGACGCUGAGGUGCGAAAGCGUGGGGAGCAGACAGG